rnacentral:rRNA from 1 species
AUUGAACGCUGGCGGCAUGCUUUACACAUGCAAGUCGAACGGUAACAGGCCGCAAGGUGCUGACGAGUGGCGAACGGGUGAGUAAUGCAUCGGAACGUGCCCAGUCGUGGGGGAUAACUACUCGAAAGAGUAGCUAAUACCGCAUACGAUCUAUGGAUGAAAGCGGGGGACCGUAAGGCCUCGCGCGAUUGGAGCGGCCGAUGUCAGAUUAGGUAGUUGGUGGGGUAAAGGCUCACCAAGCCAACGAUCUGUAGCUGGUCUGAGAGGACGACCAGCCACACUGGGACUGAGACACGGCCCAGACUCCUACGUGAGGCAGCAGUGGGGAAUUUUGGACAAUGGGCGCAAGCCUGAUCCAGCAAUGCCGCGUGCAGGAAGAAGGCCUUCGGGUUGUAAACUGCUUUUGUACGGAACGAAACGGCUCUGGUUAAUACCCGGGGCUAAUGACGGUACCGUAAGAACAAGCACCGGCUAACUACGUG